GAUGAACGCUAGCUACAGGCUUAACACAUGCAAGUCGAGGGGCAUCAGGAAGAAAGCUUGCUUUCUUUGCUGGCGACCGGCGCACGGGUGAGUAACACGUAUCCAACCUGCCCUUUACUCGGGGAUAGCCUUUCGAAAGAAAGAUUAAUACCCGAUGGCAUAAUGAUUCCGCAUGGUUUCAUUAUUAAAGGAUUCCGGUAAAGGAUGGGGAUGCGUUCCAUUAGGUUGUUGGUGAGGUAACGGCUCACCAAGCCUUCGAUGGAUAGGGGUUCUGAGAGGAAGGUCCCCCACAUUGGAACUGAGACACGGUCCAAACUCCUACGGGAGGCAGCAGUGAGGAAUAUUGGUCAAUGGGCGCUAGCCUGAACCAGCCAAGUAGCGUGAAGGAUGAAGGCUCUAUGGGUCGUAAACUUCUUUUAUAUAAGAAUAAAGUGCAGUAUGUAUACUGUUUUGUAUGUAUUAUAUGAAUAAGGAUCGGCUAACUCCGUGCCAGCAGCCGCGGUAAUACGGAGGAUCCGAGCGUUAUCCGGAUUUAUUGGGUUUAAAGGGAGCGUAGGUGGACUGGUAAGUCAGUUGUGAAAGUUUGCGGCUCAACCGUAAAAUUGCAGUUGAUACUGUCAGUCUUGAGUACAGUAGAGGUGGGCGGAAUUCGUGGUGUAGCGGUGAAAUGCUUAGAUAUCACGAAGAACUCCGAUUGCGAAGGCAGCUCACUGGACUGCAACUGACACUGAUGCUCGAAAGUGUGGGUAUCAAACAGGAUUAGAUACCCUGGUAGUCCACACAGUAAACGAUGAAUACUCGCUGUUUGCGAUAUACAGUAAGCGGCCAAGCGAAAGCAUUAAGUAUUCCACCUGGGGAGUACGCCGGCAACGGUGAAACUCAAAGGAAUUGACGGGGGCCCGCACAAGCGGAGGAACAUGUGGUUUAAUUCGAUGAUACGCGAGGAACCUUACCCGGGCUUAAAUUGCAGUGGAAUGACGUGGAAACAUGUCAGUGAGCAAUCACCGCUGUGAAGGUGAUGCAUGGUUGUCGUCAGCUCGUGCCGUGAGGUGUUGGCUUAAGUGCCAUAACGAGCGCAACCCUUAUCUUCAGUUACUAACAGGUCAUGCUGAGGACUCUGGAGAGACUGCCGUCGUAGGAUGUGAGGAAGGUGGGGAGGACGUCAAAUCAGCACGGCCCUUACGUCCGGGGCUACACACGUGUUACAAUGGGGGGUACAGAAGGCAGCUGGCGGGGGACCGUAUGCUAAUCCCAAAAUCCUCUCUCACUUCGGAUCGAAGUCUGCAACCCGACUUCGUGAAGCUGGAUUCGCUAGUAAUCGCGCAUCAGCCACGGCGCGGUGAAUACGUUCCCGGGCCU
rnacentral:rRNA from 1 species